rnacentral:sRNA from 1 species
UGCAUAUCAAUAAGCGGAGGAAAAGAAACCAACAGGGAUUGCCCUAGUAACGGCGAGUGAAGCGGCAACAGCUCAAAUUUGAAAUCUGGCUCUCUUUGGGGGUCCGAGUUGUAAUUUGCAGAGGAUGCUUUGGCAUUGGCGGCGGUCUAAGUUCCUUGGAACAGGACAUCGCAGAGGGUGAGAAUCCCGUACGUGGGCGCCUGCCUUUGCCGUGUAAAGCUCCUUCGACGAGUCGAGUUGUUUGGGAAUGCAGCUCUAAAUGGGAGGUAAAUUUCUUCUAAAGCUAAAUACCGGCCAGAGACCGAUAGCGCACAAGUAGAGUGAUCGAAAGAUGAAAAGUACUUUGGAAAGAGAGUCAAAAAGCACGUGAAAUUGUUGAAAGGGAAGCGCUUGCAGCCAGACUUGCCCGCAGUUGCUCACCUAGGCUUUGGCCUGGGGCACUCUUCUGCGGGCAGGCCAGCAUCAGUUUGGGCGGUCGGACAAAGGCCUCUGUCAAGUAUCUCCCUUCGGGGUGACCUUAUAGGGGAGGCGUAAUGCGACCAGCCCGGACUGAGGUCCGCGCAUCUGCUAGGAUGCUGGCGUAAUGGCUGUAAGCGGCCCGUCUUGAAACACGGA